rnacentral:rRNA from 1 species
GAUGAACGCUGGCGGCGUGCCUAAUACAUGCAAGUCGAGCGAAUGGAUUGAGAGCUUGCUCUUAUGAAGUUAGCGGCGGACGGGUGAGUAACACGUGGGUAACCUGCCCAUAAGACUGGGAUAACUCCGGGAAACCGGGGCUAAUACCGGAUAACAUUUUGAACCGCAUGGUUCGGAAUUGACAGGCGGCUUCGGCUGUCACUUAUGGAUGGACCCGCGUCGCAUUAGGUAGUUGGUGAGGUAACGGCUCACGAAGGCAACGAGGCGUAGCCGACCUGAGAGGGUGAUCGGCCACGCGGGGACUGAGACACGGCCCAGACUCCUACGGGAGGCAGCAGUAGGGAAUCUUCCGCAAUGGACGAAAGUCUGACGGAGCAACGCCGCGUGAGUGAUGAAGGCUUUCGGGUCGUAAAACUCUGUUGUUAGGGAAGAACAAGUGCUAGCUGAAUAAGCUGGCACCUUGACGGUACCUAACCAGAAAACCACGGCUAACUACGUGCCAGCAGCCGCAGUAA